AUACGGAGGAUGCGAGCGUUAUCCGGAUUUAUUGGGUUUAAAGGGUGCGUAGGCGGACGAUUAAGUCAGCUGUGAAAUGCCCGCGCUUAACGCGGGAAGUGCAGUUGAUACUGGUUGUCUGGAGUGCCGUUGCCGUGGGGGGAAUGUGUAGUGUAGCGGUGAAAUGCAUAGAUAUUACACAGAACGCCGAUUGUGAAGACACCUCACGAAGCGGUAACUGACGCUGAGGCACGAAAGCGUGGGGAUCGAACAGGAUUAGAUACCCUGGUAGUCCACGCAGUAAACGAUGAAUACUCGCUGUUUGCGAUACACGGUAAGCGGCCAAGCGAAAGCGUUAAGUAUUCCACCUGGGGAGUACGCCGGCAACGGUGAAACUCAAAUGAAUUGACGGGG
rnacentral:rRNA from 1 species